GCUGCCAGCUGUCUGGCCUGCAGUGGUCCCGGAGACAGAAACUGUACCAGUUGCCCUAGUAAUUAUCUCUUAGAUACAGGGUCCUGCGUCCUUGGAGCAAUCUGUAAGGAUGCAACGGAAGAAUCGUGGGCCGAGGGCAGCUUUUGUAUGCUAGUCAAAAAGAACAACCUCUGUCAGCGGAAGGUCCUUCAGCAACUCUGUUGUAAAACUUGUACAUAUCAAGGCUGAGCAGGCCACUACCCAGAAUCUCUCUGUUCCUGUAGACUUCUAGAUUAAUCCAUAUUAUUAUUAUUAAAAAAAAAAAAGAAAAAGAAAAAGAAAAACAAGAAAGCCACCGCUCUCUCUUUUCUCGCUCUUAUUCUCUCUCUCAAGUUUGUGCUGGGAGAUGGUGAACUGUUUUGUCAGAACUUAAAUGAAAAAGAAAAAAAAAAACUACAACAAGCCUACCUUUUAUAACUGGGCACUUGGUGCUAAGCGCCCAGAAUCACAGAGUCAGUAUUGUGUGGUGACCAAAGCAUUUGAUGCCAAAAUUGAAGGUUAAACUAACGAUUUGAUUUCCUGUCAACUUCAGAGUUUCCUUGUUUUUGGAGGCCCUUUCCUCCCUCCACCCUACCCUCUCUUUUUCUUGCCUGUUUCCCCUCUGAGAUGAUGAAAGACGUGUUUCAAGAGUACUCGACAGGUUGACGUGGAUUAAAACAGAAUAAAUGCUCCCAUUGGUCUUCCGUGUGCGUGUGUCCAUAGUUGGGGGAGGGGGGAGACUUCAGGAAAGAAAGCAUGAGAGAAUGAUGAUCAUGCAGAAGUGCUAUACCCAUGUCUCUUGGCCACAGUCUUUCCAAGGUGAAAAUUGACACUCGCCCACUGUCAUCUACUUCAUGUGCUAUGUACUGGGUUUUUUCUUUUGUUUUGUUUUGUUUUAAUUUACUUAACUUGAAAGGUCUGCUCUCGGCUUCCUGUUUGAAGGCAAUGGGAACCAAACAUGGGAACAAAGGAAUGGAAUGGUCCACCUGGGUUUCACCAGGGGCAGGUUUGCUGCUAUUGGUUUAACUGUAUCUCUUUGGGAGCUUUUUAACACAAAUUCCAUUCCAUUCAACAAAUACCAUUGAAUUGAGUGAUCCCUGUUCAUGUUUCAAAUCAGCAAGGUCAACCUAGCCAUUGAAUGAAGCUCUUAGAAGAUAUGAGCAUCAACUGUCUUCACUACCCCCCUCCACCCCAAAAUACUAGCAUUAUAGACUAUGAUAUCUACCUUGUCAUACUGGCUUAAAUUUUUCCAGAACCUAAUUUGGUUAUACUAGUGGGGAGUGGGGCUAGUGAGGAGGAAAGAAUAUAAAAAAAAAUUAUCUUUCCAAAUUGGACCAAUAUGCUAGGAGGUAUAUGAUAAAGGGACUUUCUUAGAAUCAACAAGUUGUUUGUUUUUUUUUUAACUUUCUGUAUUUUUAAUGAAUGACAUAAUCAUUUUCAAGCUUGUGCCCAAUAUGGCCAGGUAAUUCAUUCAAAUGGUGCUGUAGUGUUUUUUUUCUCUUGUUAUCUGAAGAAAACACAUCUGGAAAAUAGUAUGUUGGUGGCAUAAUUGUACCCUCCCCCCACCACCGAUUCUGUUAUUCCGUCACUUGUUUCUGUUCCUCCUUAACCUUGUCAUGAUUUAGUUCUUACCUGAGCAUUCUCGUGGUCCCCAGUUUGCUGGGCAUUCCCUCUCUUGUGGUUUUCUCUCACUUCCUUUACACAUUACAGAAACCAGCAAACUAAACACCAGAGGAAAAAAAAAUGUUUUGGGUGAAUUGGCAGAAUUGGAAAAAGUCAAAUACAACCUCUUGUCACUUCCAAGUUUCUCAGUUUGAAGAGAUCUCUACAAAUUGAAAGAGGGCUAUAUUUCAGGGAACAUAGCUGGAUUUUAAGUUUCUCUCUCUCUCUCUUUUUUUAACAUACCAAAAUUAGACUGUGCACUUAGGGUUUUUUGUGAUUGUUUUUUUUCCUCUUUAAAGUUGGGGUGAAAGAAGGACAUUUUUUUUUAACCUGGGAGCUAUCAGGUAACUAUCUGCUCUCUGUUUCUUAACACCUUGAAUCCUUAGGAGUAAUUGGCCUUUAUAUCUGUGAGAAGGAAGUAAAAUGAGUCAAAAGUCAGUCCGUUGUUUUGGUGAAAUAGAGGAGUACAACACUAAAGUGUCCAUCUAAAUAAUCAGGAUGCCAUUUUAGUGUCUCAGUGACAGAAUGGAUUUUCUGAUAGUGUUUUAUUACUGUUAAGCCACAUUUCAAAUUUAACAAAAAAAACCACUUGUUAUUUUUUUAAUGGCAUUAAAAGCAUAUGGAGCUACAUAUCAACUUAUGAAGAACUAGAGAAACAAUAGGUUUCAUUCGUUUGUUUUCCAUUUAUGAUACUGUAGGCCACACCUGGCUUUAGGAAAGCAGGGAUGAAACUUGCAAAAGUAGAACACAGGCUUAAAUUUUCAGGUGCCUACCUGUCUAGAACUAUGGACAAAUGUAACUAGGAACAUAAAAUAAUGUCAAGAGAAUAUCCCAAGUCAACAUAAUUUUGUUUUGUUUGAAGAAUCCAUUUAGCUAGAGUAGCUUAUGAUCAUUUGGAGCUCAAAGUUGAUGCGAUUAGAAAGGCAAUAAAUUAUGAUUUUUAUUUGGGAAAAGCACAGUCACUUCGAAAGCUAUGGAACCCCACCCAUACCCACUUCAUUUCCCAUAGACCAUCCAAAUUUUGAGUAUAUUUAUACUGGUUUAAGUACUAGUCUGUUACUGCCUCAUUUCUCUACAUAACAUUAUUAACUAGAACAUAAUGCUUUCAAAGUUUAAGUUAAUGUUUUAUAUAUAUUAUGUAUAAAUAUAUAUAUAUAUUCAUAAUUGAGAUAUAAUUAUGUAAUGAAUAGCAAAGAAUUUGUUUGGAUACUUAACAAAUGCCUCUAACAUUAUUAUAGAGACAAAAAUUCAUAUCCACUGUUUCCUUUUUCUUUUUUUUUAAACUAGUGACCCAUUGUUAAAUCCAAAUUCAUUUUUAUUGAGAAACAAAAUACUGUACAUGUGUAAAAUGUUCAGUUGUUUUUUGUAAAAUAUAGUAGAAAUGUUGUAAUUGAUACUGGCCAAAAUCAAUGUUAUUCCAUAUUUUAUUUUUUCUAUUAAAUUAACCUGAGUUCCUGUUCA